UUAAAUGAAUUGACGGGGAGCACCACAACGGGUGGAGCUUGCGGUUUAAUUGGAUUCAACGCCGGAAAUCUUACCGGGACCGACAGCAAUAUGAAGGCCAGGCUGAAGACUUUGCCGGAUUAGCUGAGAGGUGGUGCAUGGCCGUCGUCAGUUCGUACUGUGAAGCAUCCUGUUAAGUCAGGCAACGAGCGAGACCCGUGCCCACUGUUGCCAGCAUGUCCUUCGGGAUGAUGGGUACUCUGUGGGGACCGCCGAUGCUAAAUCGGAGGAAGGUGCGGGCUACGGUAGGUCAGUAUGCCCCGAAUCUCCCGGGCUACACGCGGGCUACAAUGACUGGGACAAUGGGCUCCUACCCCGAAAGGGGAUGGUAAUCUCAUAAACCCAGCCUUAGUUCGGAUCGAGGGCUGUAACCCGCCCUCGUGAAGCUGGAAUCCGUAGUAAUCGCGUUUCAACAUAGCGCGGUGAAUACGUCCCUGCUCCUU
rnacentral:rRNA from 1 species